rnacentral:lncRNA from 1 species
CGGAAGCAAUUAUUUGCAUAUAAAUACGUUUUUCUGCAGAUUAUCUGAUAAAAAGAAGAACAAUUUAAAACUUAUGAAUAUAUAAAAUAAGUACAAUUUUAAUACACCAGAUUUGCUUCCCGAUGAAUAAUGACUGCUCACUGUUGCUUGAGGUCGACAUAUUUGCAAGCCAAAUCAUAAUUAAGAUUUGUUCAUAUAGUAUAUAUAUUUUUUUAUUGAUUUCAAACAACUUUCAAGAACUCAAUUAAUACGUUUUUGGCGUAAAAUCUAAUAAAAUGACGACAAAAUAAUACUUAUCUAUUUUGUGGCAGUCCAAUUGAAAGGCACCAGAUUUAUAUUUCGAUACAAUAAUAUCUGUUCAGCGAUGCUACAGGUCUUUUAAAUCUCUUUCCCGGGAUCAUUCGUUACAAAUCAAUAUCCAAUCUUCGUAUAACCUGGGAAAAGAUAAACACCAUGUUAUAUAUGAAACAGAACAAUUUAACGUCACAUAAUACGCAUUUUGAUAAAUAAUGUCUGUUCAGCGAUGCUGGAGGACAUUUUUGACAGAAAUAUCUUAAUACAGAUUUUUUCAUGGUUUCUAGACAGAUUUUAUUGUGUUUGAACUCCUUUUCCUAAAGUUAUUUAUGGGUAUUCUGCAUAUAAAAUAAAAAAAUGGAAGCAACAUUUAUUCUAAUGAAAUAUUCAAUAAUGCAUUACUGUGGAUUCAUUAUUAUUUGUUUGAUACUAUUUUUCGUGGAUUCGUCGGUACUGGUAAACCACGAAAUUUAAUGUUCAACGAAUGGCAAAUUUUCAAAAGGCUUGUAGGCUGACCUAUGCAAAACCAUGAAAUUAAAUAUCAUCGAACAAACAUGUUUUCCUUUAUUCACGAAAAUUGGUACCCAUCCAUGGUACAUACAUGAAUCAAAAGUAUUUACUGAACCAAUGGGAAUCUCGAAAAAGUAUCAGUCCAUAUCGACAUAUUUGAAAGCUAUAUCUUGAUAAAGAUAUGUUCACGGUUUCUAGAUAUUUUCAUUUGGUUGCAAACCACUUUUCCGGAAACAGUUAGUUGCAUUCACUUACGUAUGCAUCAUAUCGCUCAUCCGCUAUUCUUUUUGACGAAUAUGUGUUGAAUUGUGUUUGCAUGUUCUUGGUUGUAUUCCCGCGUCUAUGAAACGAUCAAUUAUAUCGUCAAAAAUAUCUUAUACGCAGAUAUAUGCGUUUGUUUCCUGAUUUGAGAGUUUGAUGUUAAGUUGCAGUACAUAUACCAUUUUCCUGAAGACGUUAUUUACAUCCUUUAGAUUCGAAUCUAUAUAAUCUAAAGAGGAUGAAGGAAGUAUUUAUGUACUUCAUUGUGAUUGGAUAAGAACAGAUUAACAACUAGACACACAGAGAUGAUAUUUUGAGUGUGUUUCCUGUAUAUGAAUGUGGAUUAAUUUGUGAAAAACUACGUGGCAAGAAAAAAAAAAAAAAAAACAAAAAAAAAAAAAAAAAAAAAAACAACAACAGGUUAAAUAUGAGAAAAAUUGUUACUGAUGUUCAAAAAUCAAUGUCUAAUUUACAUAAAAAAAUACUGAAUCGUAUAAAUUCCUUUGACGGAAAAGGCUUAAUAUAGUACGGCGACUAGACACAAUAUUGUUUAGAUUUAAUCGUCAAACAUACUAUAUGGCUAUAUUAUAUAUCAUUGGAUUAAAAAAAAUGAGUACUUUUGAAAUAUCGAUGUCGUAAAAAAAAAACC